UAUCAUGCAAGUUCGAGGGGCAGCGCAGUGUAACAAUACAUGGGCGGCGACCGCGCAAACGGGUGCGGAACACGUACACAACCUUCCUUUAAGCGGGGAAUAGCCCGGGGAAACCCGGAUUAAUACCCCAUAGAUACGUCGAGAGGGCAUCCUCUUGAUUUUAAAGAUUUAUCACUUAAAGAUGGGUGUGCGGCUGAUUAGGUAGUUGGCGGGGUAACGGCCCACCAAGCCUACGAUCAGUAACUGGUGUGAGAGCACGACCAGUCACACGGGCACUGAGACACGGGCCCGACUCCUACGGGAGGCAGCAGUAAGGAAUAUUGGUCAAUGGACGAAAGUCUGAACCAGCCAUGCCGCGUGGAGGAUGAAGGUCCUCUGGAUUGUAAACUUCUUUUAUAUGGGACGAAAAAGGGUCUUUCUAGACCAACUGACGGUACCAUGUGAAUAAGCACCGGCUAACUCCGUGCCAGCAGCCGCGGUAAUACGGAGGGUGCAAGCGUUAUCCGGAUUCACUGGGUUUAAAGGGUGCGUAGGUGGGUUGGUAAGUCAGUGGUGAAAUCCCCGAGCUUAACUUGGGAACUGCCAUUGAUACUAUCAGUCUUGAAUACCGUGGAGGUCAGCGGAAUAUGUCAUGUAGCGGUGAAAUGCUUAGAUAUGACAUAGAACACCAAUUGCGAAGGCAGCUGGCUACACGAAUAUUGACACUGAGGCACGAAAGCGUGGGGAUCAAACAGGAUUAGAUACCCUGGUAGUCCACGCCCUAAACUAUGGAUACUCGACAUACGCGAUACACUGUGUGUGUCUGAGCGAAAGCAUUAAGUAUCCCACCCUGGGAAGUACGAUCGCAAGAUUGAAAACUCAAAGGAAUUGGCGGGGGGUCCCCCACAAGCCGGUGGAGCAUGUGGUUUAAUUUCGAUGAUAC
rnacentral:rRNA from 1 species